rnacentral:misc_RNA from 1 species
GCAUUAUCAGAUCUAAAUGUUUGAAAUGAGGAAUGAAAAUGAACUUUGACCAUGAAAGUAAAAGCUUUAAGAACUGAAAAAGUAUUGCCUUUGCAAGAGAGUAGAUGAGUCCAAGUGGCUCUAGAGUAUUUAUCCACUCGAGUUAAAAAAUAUCUGAACCCGUCAUAAGUUUUGGUGUUGUAUGGGCCCCAAGUGUCUACAUGAACAAGUUGAAAAGGU